rnacentral:rRNA from 1 species
AUACGUAGGUGGCAAGCGUUGUCCGGAUUUAUUGGGCGUAAGGCGAGCGCAGGCGGUUUUUUAAGUCUGAUGUGAAAGCCUUCGGCUUAACCGGAGAAGUGCAUCGGAAACUGGGAGACUUGAGUGCAGAAGAGGACAGUGGGAACUCCAUGUGUAGCGGUGAAAUGCGUAGAUAUAUGGAAGAACACCAGUGGCGAAGGCGGCUGUCUGGUCUGUAACUGACGCUGAGGCUCGAAAGUAUGGGUAGC